UCCAUUUGGAAACCCCUUGAGCUAUAAAA
rnacentral:piRNA from 1 species